AGAGCUGAUCCUGGCUCAGGAUGAACGCUGGCGGUAUGCCUAACACAUGCAAGUCGUACGAGAGUUUUUAACUCAAGUGGCGGACGGGUGAGUAACACGUGAGAAUUUGCCUUUAGGAGGGGGAUAACAGAGUGAAAACGCUGCUAAUACCCCAUAUGCUUUCGAGUGAAAUGGAUUUAUUCGCCUAAAGAGAAGCUCGCGGCUGAUUAGCUUGUUGGUAAGGUAAUGGCUUACCAAGGCGACGAUCAGUAUCUGGUUUGAGAGGACGAUCAGACACACUGGAACUGAGACACGGUCCAGACUCCUACGGGAGGCAGCAGUGGGGAAUUUUCCGCAAUGGGCGAAAGCCUGACGGAGCAAUACCGCGUGAGGGAUGACGGCCUAUGGGUUGUAAACCUCUUUUCUCAGGGAGGAAAUCAAUGACGUUACCUGAGGAAUAAGCAUCGGCUAACUCCGUGCCAGCAGCCGCGGUAAGACGGAGGAUGCAAGUGUUAUCCGGAAUCACUGGGCGUAAAGCGUCUGUAGGUGGCUUAACAAGUCAACUGUUAAAUCUUGAAGCUCAACUUCGAAAUCGCAGUCGAAACUGUUAGGCUAGAGUAUAGUAGGGGUAAAGGGAAUUUCCAGUGGAGCGGUGAAAUGCGUAGAGAUUGGAAAGAACACCGAUGGCGAAGGCACUUUACUGGGCUAUUACUGACACUCAGAGACGAAAGCUAGGGUAGCAAAUGGGAUUAGAUACCCCAGUAGCCCUAGCCGUAAACAAUGGAUACUAGAUGUUGGGCAGAUCGACCUGUUCAGUAUUAAAGCUAACGCGUUAAGUAUCCCGCCUGGGAAGUAUGCGCGCAAGCGUGAAACUCAAAGGAAUUGACGGGGGCCCGCACAAGCGGUGGAGCAUGUGGUUUAAUUCGAUGCAACGCGAAGAACCUUACCAGGGUUUGACAUGAUACGAAUUUUUUUGAAAGAAAAAAGUGCCGUUUGGAACGUAUACACAGGUGGUGCAUGGCUGUCGUCAGCUCGUGUCCUGAGAUGUUUGGGUUAAAUCCCCCCACCAACGCCACCCCUUAUUUUUAUUUGCCUUUUAUGGAACUCUAGAAAGACUGCUGGGUUAUAAACCCGAAGAAAGGGCGGGGAUAACAUCCAAUUCACCAUGGCCCCUUACACCUCGGGGGGAACACCGUGGUUAAUUUGGGGGGAAACAAUAAGAACGCAAACCCUGCCAAAGGGAGGCU
rnacentral:rRNA from 1 species